rnacentral:rRNA from 1 species
CCUACGGGUGACAGCAGUGGGGAAUAUUGCACAAUGGGGGAAACCCUGCUGCAGCGACGCCGCGUGAGUGAAGAAGUAUUUCGGUAUGUAAAGCUCUAUCAGCAGGGAGGAAAAUGACGGUACCUGACUAAGAAGCCCCGGCUAACUACGUGCCAGCAGCCGCGGUUAUACGUAGGGGGCAAGCGUUAUCCGGAUUUACUGGGUGUAAAGGGAGCGUAGACGGCCAGACAAGUCAGAAGUGAAAGCCCAGGGCGCAACCCUGAGACUGCAUUUGAAACUGCCGGGCUUGAGUGCAGGAGAGGUAAGCGGAAUUCCUAGUGUAGCGGUGAAAUGCGUAGAUAUUAGGAGGAACACCAGUGGCGAAGGCGGCUUACUGGACUGUAACUGACGUUGAGGCUCGAAAGCGUGGGGAGCAAACAGGAUUAGAUACCCGGGUAGUC